rnacentral:SRP_RNA from 1 species
GCCAGGCAUGGUGGCGCAUGCCUGUAAUCCUAGCUACUCAGGAAGCUGAGGCAGGAGAAUUGCUUGAACCUGGGAGGUGGAGGCUGCAGUGAGCCAAGAUCACACCACUGCACUCCAGCCUGGGUGACAGAGCAAUACUCUGUCUCAA